rnacentral:rRNA from 1 species
GAUGAACGCUGGCGGCGUGCCUAAUACAUGCAAGUCGAGCGAACGGACGAUAAGCUUGCUUCUCUCAUGUUAGCGGCGGACGGGUGAGUAACACGUGGAUAACCCACCUAUAAUACUGGGAUAACUUCGGGACACCGGCGCUAAUACCGGAUAAUAUUUUGAACCGCAUGGUUCAAAAGUGAAAGACGGUGUUGCUGUCACUUCUCGAUGCAUCCGCGCUGCAUUAGCUAGUUGGUAGGGUAACGGCUUACCAAGGCAACGAUGCAUAGCCGACCUAAGAGAGUGGUCGGCGACCUUGGAACGGGACCGGGGUCAAUACGACUACGGGAGGGAGCAGUAGCGAACCGUCCGCAAUAGGCGGAAGCCUGACGGAGCAGCGCCGAGUCUGAUGUAGAGGUCUUGGGAUCGUAAAACUCUGUUAUGAGGGAAGAACAUAUGUGUAAGGAACUGUGGACAUCUUGACGGUACCUAAUCAGAAAGCCACGGCUAACUACGUG